GACGAACGCUGGCGGCGUGCCUAAUACAUGCAAGUAGAACGCUGAAGGAGGAGCUUGCUCUUCUGGAUGAGUUGCGAACGGGUGAGUAACGCGUAGGUAACCUGCCUGGUAGCGGGGGAUAACUAUUGGAAACGAUAGCUAAUACCGCAUAACAGUAGAUGUUGCAUGACAUUUGCUUAAAAGGUGCAAUUGCACCACUACCAGAUGGACCUGCGUUGUAUUAGCUAGUUGGUGGGGUAACGGCUCACCAAGGCGACGAUACAUAGCCGACCUGAGAGGGUGGUCGGCCACCCUGGGACUGGGGCACGGCCCAGACUCCUUCGGGAGGCAGCAGUAGGGGAUCUUCGGCAAUGGGCGGAAGUCUGACCGAGCUACGCCGGGUGGGUGAAGGAGGUUUUCGGAUCGUAAAGCUCUGUUGUAAGAGAAGAACGAGUGUGAGAGUGGAAAGUUCACACUGUGACGGUAUCUUACCAGAAAGGGACGGCUAACUACGUG
rnacentral:rRNA from 1 species